rnacentral:rRNA from 1 species
UACGUAGGGUGCAAGCGUUAAUCGGAAUUACUGGGCGUAAAGCGUGCGCAGGCGGUUGGGCAAGACAGAUGUGAAAUCCCCGGGCUUAACCUGGGAACUGCAUUUGUGACUGCGCGGCUAGAGUGUGUCAGAGGGGGGUAGAAUUCCACGUGUAGCAGUGAAAUGCGUAGAUAUGUGGAGGAAUACCGAUGGCGAAGGCAGCCCCCUGGGAUAACACUGACGCUCAUGCACGAAAGCGUGGGGAGCAAACAGG